rnacentral:tRNA from 1 species
UGGCAAGUAGCACAGCGGCAGUGCUCCCGGCUGUUAACCGGGUGGUCGUAGGUUCGAAUCCUGCCUUGCCAGCCA